ACCACCUUCCCUUUGUGAGCUUGCUUUAGUUUGACCAAAUUUCCAAUCUUAAUUAUUUACCAACAGUGGAUCUCAUUUCUGGCUUGGCAGAAUAAGCAAUCAAUAUGGUCACUUGAUUCGAUAUAGAUUUCAUGGAUCAAAUAUUUCAAACUGUAUAAUCUAUCACGCAGAGGAACUCAAAUACAAGUUGAACUAAUGUACUUAACCAAGAUUCACACACCAACAGAGAAGAUCAACUUGUUG
rnacentral:lncRNA from 1 species